rnacentral:rRNA from 2 species
GAGUCUCCUGAAGGAACGUUGAAGACGACAACGUUGAUAGGCCGGGUGUGUAAGCGCAGCGAUGCGUUGAGCUAACCGGUACUAAUGAACCGUGAGGCUUAACCUU